rnacentral:rRNA from 1 species
UACAGAGGUCUCAAGCGUUGUUCGGAUUCAUUGGGCGUAAAGGGCGCGUAGGCUGCGGGGUAAGUCGGGUGUGAAAUCUCAGAGCUCAACUCUGAAACUGCACUCGAUACUGCUCUGCUUGAGGACUGGAGAGGAGAUUGGAAUUCACGGUGUAGCAGUGAAAUGCGUAGAUAUCGUGAGGAAGACCAGUGGCGAAGGCGGCUCACUGGCCCGAUACUGACGCUGAGGCACGAAAGCGUGGGGAGCAAACAGG